GGUUAAGCGACUAAGCGUACACGGUGGAUGCCCUGGCAGUCAGAGGCGAUGAAGGACGUGCUAAUCUGCGAAAAGCGUCGGUAAGGUGAUAUGAACCGUUAUAACCGGCGAUGUCCGAAUGGGGAAACCCAGUGCAAUUCGUUGCACUAUCGUUAACUGAAUACAUAGGUUAACGAGGCGAACCGGGGGAACUGAAACAUCUAAGUACCCCGAGGAAAAGAAAUCAACCGAGAUUCCCCCAGUAGCGGCGAGCGAACGGGGAGCAGCCCAGAGUCUGAAUCAGCUUGUGUGUUAGUGGAACGGUCUGGAAAGUCCGACGGUACAGGGUGAUAGUCCCGUACACCAAAAUGCACAGGUUGUGAACUCGAAGAGUAGGGCGGGACACGUGGUAUCCUGUCUGAAUAUGGGGGGACCAUCCUCCAAGGCUAAAUACUCCUGACUGACCGAUAGUGAACCAGUACCGUGAGGGAAAGGCGAAAAGAACCCCGGCGAGGGGAGUGAAAAAGAACCUGAAACCGUGUACGUACAAGCAGUGGGAGCACCUUCGGGUGUGACUGCGUACCUUUUGUAUAAUGGGUCAGCGACUUAUAUUCUGUAGCAAGGUUAACCGUAUAGGGGAGCCGCAGGGAAACCGAGUCUUAACUGGGCGUUAAGUUGCAGGGUAUAGACCCGAAACCCGGUGAUCUAGCCAUGGGCAGGUUGAAGGUUGGGUAACACUAACUGGAGGACCGAACCGACUAAUGUUGAAAAAUUAGCGGAUGACUUGUGGCUGGGGGUGAAAGGCCAAUCAAACCGGGAGAUAGCUGGUUCUCCCCGAAAGCUAUUUAGGUAGCGCCUCGUGAAUUCAUCUUCGGGGGUAGAGCACUGUUUCGGCUAGGGGGUCAUCCCGACUUACCAACCCGAUGCAAACUACGAAUACCGAAGAAUGUUAUCACGGGAGACACACGGCGGGUGCUAACGUCCGUCGUGAAGAGGGAAACAACCCAGACCGCCAGCUAAGGUCCCAAAGUCAUGGUUAAGUGGGAAACGAUGUGGGAAGGCACAGACAGCCAGGAUGUUGGCUUAGAAGCAGCCAUCAUUUAAAGAAAGCGUAAUAGCUCACUGGUCGAGUCGGCCUGCGCGGAAGAUGUAACGGGGCUAAACCAUGCACCGAAGCUGCGGCAGCGACACUAUGUGUUGUUGGGUAGGGGAGCGUUCUGUAAGCCUGCGAAGGUGUGCUGUGAGGCAUGCUGGAGGUAUCAGAAGUGCGAAUGCUGACAUAAGUAACGAUAAAGCGGGUGAAAAGCCCGCUCGCCGGAAGACCAAGGGUUCCUGUCCAACGUUAAUCGGGGCAGGGUGAGUCGACCCCUAAGGCGAGGCCGAAAGGCGUAGUCGAUGGGAAACAGGUUAAUAUUCCUGUACUUGGUGUUACUGCGAAGGGGGGACGGAGAAGGCUAUGUUAGCCGGGCGACGGUUGUCCCGGUUUAAGCAUGUAGGCUGGUUGUCCAGGCAAAUCCGGAUAAUCAAGGCUGAGGUGUGAUGACGAGGCACUACGGUGCUGAAGUAACAAAUGCCCUGCUUCCAGGAAAAGCCUCUAAGCAUCAGGUAACAUCAAAUCGUACCCCAAACCGACACAGGUGGUCAGGUAGAGAAUACCAAGGCGCUUGAGAGAACUCGGGUGAAGGAACUAGGCAAAAUGGUGCCGUAACUUCGGGAGAAGGCACGCUGGUGUGUAGGUGAAGCCCCUGCGGGUGGAGCUGAGACCAGUCGAAGAUACCAGCUGGCUGCAACUGUUUAUUAAAAACACAGCACUGUGCAAACACGAAAGUGGACGUAUACGGUGUGACGCCUGCCCGGUGCCGGAAGGUUAAUUGAUGGGGUUAUCCGUAAGGAGAAGCUCUUGAUCGAAGCCCCGGUAAACGGCGGCCGUAACUAUAACGGUCCUAAGGUAGCGAAAUUCCUUGUCGGGUAAGUUCCGACCUGCACGAAUGGCGUAAUGAUGGCCAGGCUGUCUCCACCCGAGACUCAGUGAAAUUGAACUCGCUGUGAAGAUGCAGUGUACCCGCGGCAAGACGGAAAGACCCCGUGAACCUUUACUAUAGCUUGACACUGAACAUUGAGCCUUGAUGUGUAGGAUAGGUGGGAGGCUUUGAAGCGUGGACGCCAGUCUGCGUGGAGCCAACCUUGAAAUACCACCCUUUAAUGUUUGAUGUUCUAACGUUGGCCCCUUAUCGGGGUUGCGGACAGUGUCUGGUGGGUAGUUUGACUGGGGCGGUCUCCUCCCAAAGCGUAACGGAGGAGCACGAAGGUUAGCUAAUCCUGGUCGGACAUCAGGAGGUUAGUGCAAUGGCAUAAGCUAGCUUGACUGCGAGCGUGACGGCGCGAGCAGGUGCGAAAGCAGGUCAUAGUGAUCCGGUGGUUCUGAAUGGAAGGGCCAUCGCUCAACGGAUAAAAGGUACUCCGGGGAUAACAGGCUGAUACCGCCCAAGAGUUCAUAUCGACGGCGGUGUUUGGCACCUCGAUGUCGGCUCAUCACAUCCUGGGGCUGAAGUAGGUCCCAAGGGUAUGGCUGUUCGCCAUUUAAAGUGGUACGCGAGCUGGGUUUAGAACGUCGUGAGACAGUUCGGUCCCUAUCUGCCGUGGGCGCUGGAGAAUUGAGGGGGGCUGCUCCUAGUACGAGAGGACCGGAGUGGACGCAUCACUGGUGUUCGGGUUGUCAUGCCAAUGGCACUGCCCGGUAGCUAAAUGCGGAAGAGAUAAGUGCUGAAAGCAUCUAAGCACGAAACUUGCCCCGAGAUGAGUUCUCCCUGAGACUUUAAGUCUCCUGAAGGAACGUUGAAGACGACGACGUUGAUAGGCCGGGUGUGUAAGCGCAGCGAUGCGUUGAGCUAACCGGUACUAAUGAACCGUGAGGCUUAACCUU
rnacentral:rRNA from 1 species